rnacentral:tRNA from 1 species
GGAUCCGUAGUUAAAUGGUAUAAUACCUGCCUCCAGAGCAGAAGUCGGGAGUUCGAUUCUCUCCGGGUCCA